rnacentral:rRNA from 1 species
AGAGUUUGAUCCUGGCUCAGUUCGGAUUGGAGUCUGCAACCCGACUCCAUGAAGCUGGAUUCGCUAGUAAUCGCGCAUCAGCCACGGCGCGGUGAAUACGUUCCCGGGCCUUGCACUCACCGCCGGUCAAGGGCGAAUUCGUUUAAACCUGCAGGACUAGU